rnacentral:rRNA from 1 species
UACGGGGGGGGCAAGCGUUGUUCGGAAUUACUGGGCGUAAAGGGCUCGUAGGCGGCCAACUAAGUCGGAUGUGAAAUCCCCAGGCUCAACUUGGGAACUGCAUCCGAUACUGGAUGGCUUGAAUCCGGGAGAGGGAUGCAGAAUUCCAGGUGUAGCGGUGAAAUGCGUAGAUAUCUGGAGGAAUACCGGUGGCGAAGGCGGCAUCCUGGACCGGCAUUGACACUGAUGAGCGAAAGCUAGGGGAGCAAACGGG